rnacentral:lncRNA from 1 species
GGUCUUUUACGUCGGCCUCCGCGAGCGUUUGGUAGUGUGGUAGGAACAAUGGCGCUGUCUUCAGUGGCACAGCGGAGCAGUUCUGUGAAGAUGCAAAGUGAGGGUCGCUGUCUGCCCAUUGAUAGAGGCCAGAUUGUCUUGGAAGUUCCAAAGUUGCAACGAUUUCUUUGGUUGAAUCCGUGGACAUGAAACCCACAGAUACAGAGGGUCGGCCCGGUGCAGUGGCUCACGCCUGUAAUCCCAGCACUUUGGGAGGCCAAGGCAGGUGGAUCACCUGAGGUCAGAAGCUCGAGACCAGCCUGGCCAACAUGGUAAAACCCCAUCUCUACUAAUAAUACAAAAAAAAUUGCUGGGCAUGGUGGCGCACGCCUGUAAUCCAAGCUACUCCAGAGGCUGAGGCAGAAGAAUCGCUUGAAUCCGAGAGGCAGAGGUUGCAGUGAGCCCAGAUCACACCACUGCUCUCCAACCUGGGCAACAAGAGCAAAACUCCGUCAAAAAAAAAAAAAUAGAGGGUCAACUGUACACAUUAAACAGUUCCUAUCAACUAGUGAUACCAGUCUUGUCCAUUGUAUUAUUGCCUAUCUUACUAAACAGUCAUAUUUCAGGAAGUACAAUACGCUCAAAAACUAUGUUAAUAUUCUUUGUAGAUUUAUGGUUAAUGAAUGAUUCAUAUAAUAGAAACUUAAAUUUAUUUGACCAUUCUAUAUAAUAUAGAAUAAAUACAACUGGCCAGGCACGGUGGCUCAUGUCUAUAAUG